rnacentral:rRNA from 1 species
ACCUACGGGGCGCAGCAGUGGGGAAUAUUGCACAAUGGGGGAAACCCUGAUGCAGCGACGCCGCGUGAGUGAAGAAGUAUUUCGGUACGUAAAGCUCUAUCAGCAGGGAAGAAAGAAAGUCCUUUGGACUUUGGACGGUACCUGACCAAGAAGCCCCGGCUAACUACGUGCCAGCAGCCGCGGUAAUACGUAGGGGGCAAGCGUUAUCCGGAUUUACUGGGUGUAGAGGGAGCGUAGACGGCAUAGCAAGUCUGAAGUGAAAGCCCAAGGCUCAACCAUGGGACUGCUUUGGAAACUGUUAAGCU